rnacentral:rRNA from 1 species
AGUUUGAUCCUGGCUCAGGAUGAACGCUAGCUACAGGCUUAACACAUGCAAGUCGAGGGGCAGCGGGAUUGAAGCUUGCUUCAAUUGCCGGCGACCGGCGCACGGGUGAGUAACGCGUAUCCAACCUUCCGUACACUCAGGGAUAGCCUUUCGAAAGAAAGAUUAAUACCUGAUGGUAUGAUGAGAUUGCAUGAUAGCAUCAUUAAAGAUUUAUCGGUGUACGAUGGGGAUGCGUUCCAUUAGGUAGUAGGCGGGGUAACGGCCCACCUAGCCAACGAUGGAUAGGGGUUCUGAGAGGAAGGUCCCCCACAUUGGAACUGAGACACGGUCCAAACUCCUACGGGAGGCAGCAGUGAGGAAUAUUGGUCAAUGGACGAGAGUCUGAACCAGCCAAGUAGCGUGAAGGAUGAAGGUCCUACGGAUUGUAAACUUCUUUUAUAAGGGAAUAAACCCUCCCACGUGUGGGAGCUUGUAUGUACCUUAUGAAUAAGCAUCGGCUAACUCCGUGCCAGCAGCCGCGGUAAUACGGAGGAUGCGAGCGUUAUCCGGAUUUAUUGGGUUUAAAGGGAGCGCAGACGGGUCGUUAAGUCAGCUGUGAAAGUUUGGGGCUCAACCUUAAAAUUGCAGUUGAUACUGGCGUCCUUGAGUGCGGUUGAGGUGUGCGGAAUUCGUGGUGUAGCGGUGAAAUGCUUAGAUAUCACGAAGAACUCCGAUUGCGAAGGCAGCACACUAAUCCGUAACUGACGUUCAUGCUCGAAAGUGUGGGUAUCAAACAGGAUUAGAUACCCUGGUAGUCCACACGGUAAACGAUGGAUACUCGCUGUUGGCGAUAUACUGUCAGCGGCUUAGCGAAAGCGUUAAGUAUCCCACCUGGGGAGUACGCCGGCAACGGUGAAACUCAAAGGAAUUGAC